AGUUCCGGUCCGGCAGAGAUCGCGGAGAGACGCAGAACGCAGCCCGCUCCUCCAGGGCCCUCCAGGCCCUCCGGCCCCGGGCCGGCGGGUGAACUGGGGGGCCCCGGGACAGGCCGAGCCCUCUGCCCUGCAGAUAACGGAGGCCUCUGCUGUGGCUGCCCACUGGCUGUGCCCGCCCACUGGCUGUGCCCAGACCUUGAAGCCGCAGCGAACCUCUCUUUCCCACCCCACCUCGGUGACUAAUGGCGGCCGUGGCGUCUCCCAGCCCGGACCCCGCCGGCACCCGGGUCUCCCGACCCAAGCCUCGACGAAACCCCCGCAGAGCCGCCGGGACGCAGCGCCUUUGGGCGGCGCUGGGCGUGGUGGGCCGGGAAGUAUGGCGGCAGCUCGAACGCCGCGCGGCGGAGGCCAUUAAGGCGUGGACGGCCCGGGAAGGCGGCCUAGGGACGCAAGCAGGCUCGGCCGCCUCUUUAGGCCACGGAGCCGCGCAGAUCCGGUUCCCGGGUGACCACUCUGUCGCCAUUGGGCGAGACCUACCUAGUCCUGACGACAACGGACAAAGGCCUUAAGGGGCCUGGAAGGUGAGCGAAGUCCCGAACGACGACGGGUGGAACGGUUAGCGGCCAUCGGGCGGUUGGUCUUCAUUCUACCAGACUUUGCUGUCGGAAGAGAGAAAUGGUAGAAUGACAGGCCACGUUUGGCCCGUUGGAAAUGCCCACCACCCUCUGGGAAGAUUUACUGGCCGUUUAUGGAAGGCCUGUGUAUAUAAUAUGAAAAAGCUGCUCUCAACUCCACCCCAACCUUUUAAUAGAAAACAUUUGUCACAUCUAGCCCUUCUAGAUGGAAAGAGGUUGCCGACGUAUGAUAAAAUAGAGUUAGAAAGUUACACAUCUUGUAAAUUCUCAUUUGUUUAAAAGAAAUCAUAGAAAAUACAUGUCUUCUGGAGAUGACUUUUGGAAAUGGAGUUGUUAAGACGGCCUCUGGAAGCGAUACGUCCACGUUUGUUAAGUGGGUUAGAUGACAUGGAGCUGGAAGACCUGAGAAGGAAGAGAAGAAGGUUCUAUGCUAGACUGGUCAUAUUUAGAAGACAUUUUCAUAUUCUAUCCAUUGUUUUGUGUGCAUUUUAUUCCUCACUACUGUGUAUAUAGUUGACAAUGCUAAGCUUUUUUGAAAUGUCUCUUCUUUUUAGAUGUUCUGAAGUGCCUGAUAUGUUAAAAUUAGAGGUAGCAAAAUCACAUUUUGUAAAUACCUUUUUGUUACAAUUCAUAGGAAAUAUUUUUGGGGGGGAAUGGCCAAAUCACCUGUUGAGUAAUACUCAUUGUGUUUGUGCAGUGGUUCAGGGGAGGAGAGAGGAGGGGGAGGUGCAGAGAGCUCUAUGCCAUCCUGUUUACAGCGAGGCAAGAUGAAUCAUUAUGUCUGUGCAUUUUGUUUUACUUAUCUGUGUAUAUAGUGUACAUAAAGGACAGACGAGUCCUAAUUGACAACAUCUAGUCUUUCUGGAUGUUAAAGAGGUUGCCAGUGUAUGACAAAAGUAGAGUUAGUAAACUAAUAUAUUUUGUACAUUUUGUUUUACAAGUCCUAGGAAAGAUUGUCUUCUGAAAAUUUGAUGUCUUCUGGGUUGAUGGAGAUGGGAAGGGUUCUAGGCCAGAAUGUUCACAUUUGGAAGACUCUUUCAAAUUAUAACUGUUGUUACAUGUUUGCAGUUUAUUCAAGACUGCUGUAUACAUAGUAGACAAAUUAACUCCUUACUUGAAACAUCUAGUCUAUCUAGAUGUUUAGAAGUGCCCGAUGUAUGUUAAAUGUAUAGGUAGUAAAAUACCACUUUGUAAAUAUCUUUUUGCUAAAAUUCAUAGGAAAUGCUUUUGGAAAUUGAAUUGUGAAGCCACCUUUGUGAACAGUAUAGUAAUGUCUAUACUUGUUCAAUAGUUUAGAGGAGGUAGGAGGGAAGAAAUUGCAAAAGGUAAUAUUACUAGUGUGUUCAUACUUGGACAUUUUCAGACACCAUUUUUCUAUAUGUUUUGUGCAUUUUGUUUUGCUCUGUAUAUAGUAUAUAUAAUGGACAAAUAGUCCUAAUUUUUCAACAUCUAGUCUCUAGAUGUUAAAGAGGUUGCCAGUGUAUGACAAAGGAGUAAAAUUAGCAUAUUUUGUACACUUUGUGUUGAAAUUCGUAGGAAAACUUGUCUUCUGUAAAGACUUUUGCAUAGG
rnacentral:lncRNA from 1 species